rnacentral:lncRNA from 1 species
GCCUUUAGUAGAUAAGGGAUGAGUUGGUGUCCAUUUGAAUUCAAAAUUUGAUUUGAAUUCAAAUGUGCAAUUACUCAUCUUUAUCCUUUCUUUUGGAUAAGACGUUUGAUGUUGUUAUAAAAGGAGGAGAAGAGUGGGGCGUGCAAGAAGAAGAUUUUUGGAGAAAAAUUUUGGGGUGUGAGAAGUCUUGUGCAUGAGAAGGAAGUCCAUAUCCUUCCAAGAAAAAAAGAAAGAAAAGAA